GGCGAUCUUUUGUCUAAACUAAUUGGAUAGUGAUCUAGUUUUAUUUUUUGUUUCGAUUUACACCAUUUGAUAUGUCGUCUUUGGGCUGAACAAUGUGGAACUAUUUUUAAAUUAAUUUUUGGUAUGUUUUAUGUGUUUUCAAAGGCUUUACCGUGUUAAAUCCUUUGGGAUGAUAUACUUAGCAUGCAACGAUAACUUUCCCGUCUUUAAAAAAUAACAUUAUCUGCAACUCUAUACAGCAAACGUGUACCAUAUUAAUACUGCCACCAGUUGUGAACAGUUAUUAUAGUGAGCUCAUUUUUAAUUUCACGCAUCGUCUGCGUUCACCCGCUGUCAUCAACAUCGCACGUUGAUGUGGAUAAUCGCGCGGCAAAUACCACCGACGCGCAUUUAGUGACUCUGGUUAAUUCAAAUUGGCUUGGUUCCAAAAUUUCAAACCAAACGUAACAGAGUUGUUGUGUAGUUUGUUUUGUUUACCACAUUCUAGUUUUACUAAUAAUGGAAAAGUAAAUGCUUGUAAGAGAUAGAACAAAAAAUAACUGUAACAAAUGGUUAUUGCUUUCCGGUUGAUUCUAUAUUAAUUCCGCAAAUAAGACCUCUUUGCGUUUGUACGAGCAAGUGCUGUCGAAUAAAUCAUAUUUACAUUAGAUUCAACAGUACACAUUCCUACUGGGUUAGCAAACAACAACAACGACACUGAGGCCAGUGUUACACCCAGUACACUCGGCUUUCGGUCUUUGCGGACGAUGCGGCCAACGCAAAACUGCCGGGGCCACUGGUGAAGAAGUUCAGUGUCAAGAAUGUUUUUCUUCCUUCUCCCGUUCGAGCAGAGAGGAGGGUGGUAAAUAUUAUGUCGGCAAAUGUGUGUGGCGCUGUAGUUUUUUUCAGACGACAUCAUCGUCAUCAUCAUCACCAUCAUGAUUUCCUACAUUUUUUUCAAAGUGAACGCCUAUACGGCGCUGCAUACCGUUUUCACUUUUCUUCCUAACAGCAACCAUUCCCUUGUGGUUUGUAUGUGUGUGGUGGUAGCUUGUGUUUUUCUGCAUUUCAAGGAUUUUACCGAACGCAAUGUUUGUUAUGUUGUUGAGGGUUUUUUUUAAUCCAACCGAUUUAUUCCGCAAAAAAAAAACGGCAGAGGAUGUGUUUGGACGAUUAGCAGCAGUGAUCUAUAGGCGUUUGAAAGGAAGGAAAGGCAAACAAUAUUUUACGAAAUAGGAAAACGCUUGAGUUGUGGAGAUGAAAUUGGUAUAUGAAUGAUGGCUGAAUGAACGGUCAGAAGCGUCGUUUCUAAAUGCAAUCCUGAAAUGUUGGUCGAGAACUCGAAUUGAAAUAGAAUUGCUGCGUACACAUUAGCGUCUGCUACUUGUUAGUCAAUCCCUGAAGCUGGACAAGGUCGCAUCUAAUCUAAGCAGCAACACAGCGAAGGGAAUGCUAAAGAGCGAGUAGUAGUGUUUUAAAACCCUGAUACAAUCGCCCCUUGAGAGCGCGUUGAAUCAGAAAAUAUACGCUGAUCAAAAAAUCUGAUCUUCUUUUGCACUAAUCGGUCCGCACGCGCUCGAUGAUUAGCAUCAUCGUCCUCUAAUGUGGGCCGCCAUCUGCGCUACCGCCGCGGCGUUCCAAAAAGUUCAAUUUGUCCCGAAGCACUAAAACGGAUGGAUGGAAAUUUCGGAAAAAACACAUUUCGUUGUGCCAACCGGAAAAUGAUAGCGACCAAUAAGUAAACGACGUUCGGUUUUUGGUCGCGUGCCCAUCGUACGGACAUUAAAAUUUUGGACCAUGAAAUCCAGUCGGAAACAGCGUUCGAGUGGUGUUCGCUUUUAUUUAGUUUUAUUAUAAAUUCAAACAGAUUAAUGUGUUGAAUUGGUUUUUGAUGAUUUAAAAAAACAUUAUGAGCAUUUGAAGGAACCUCACGAUAAUUUACAAUAAUUAGCUUGUUAACAAUUGAUUGAGUAAUAUUAAAUAACAUAAUAUUCGACUGUGAGCAGCGAGUUUGAAAUAACUAGCACGUAGUUUGCGUCAACUUAUGGUCAAGAUCAGUAAAUUGCGCAAAAUCAGCUGGUGUGUGUGUGUGUUGCAGAAACUAACACGCUGCGCAGAUUCCUUUUCUUUCGUCGACGCCCUGUCAUAAGCACAUGAGCGCGUGUGUUCGUUAAUCACAUUCUUUUUGUCAUGUGUAGUGUGCUUAGUGUUGACAGAUGAAUACUAACAGCUAAACGAUGUAAGAAUCUCAGUUUAAAGUAAUUUUCAAAAAUAACCUGCUUUUUAACCAGUUUUGUUCCGAUAAUAGUUUACCAAGUAAUCAAUUUAAUCUUGCUUUGAGGAUAGAUUUUACUCUAGAAUGGUCUAUUACAUCUGUAAGCAAUAAAUCGUUUUAAUGUAUAAAAUUUAAAA